UACGUAGGGUGCGAGCGUUAAUCGGAAUUACUGGGCGUAAAGCGUGCGCAGGCGGUUCGUUAAGUCAGCUGUGAAAGCCCCGGGCUCAACCUGGGAAUUGCGGUUGAAACUGGCGAACUAGAAUCUGGCAGAGGGGGGUGGAAUUCCACGUGUAGCAGUGAAAUGCGUAGAGAUGUGGAGGAACACCGAUGGCGAAGGCAGCCCCCUGGGCUGAGAUUGACGCUCAGGCACGAAAGCGUGGGGAUCAAACAGG
rnacentral:rRNA from 1 species